UACGGGGGGGGCAAGCGUUGUUCGGAAUUACUGGGCGUAAAGGGCUCGUAGGUGGCCAACUAAGUCAGACGUGAAAUCCCCAGGCUUAACCUGGGGACUGCGUCUGAUACUGGAUGGCUUGAAUUCGGGAGAGGGAUGCAGAAUUCCAGGUGUAGCGGUGAAAUGCGUAGAUAUCUGGAGGAAUACCGGUGGCGAAGGCGGCAUCCUGGACCGAGAUUGACACUGAUGAGCGAAAGCUAGGGGAGCAAACGGG
rnacentral:rRNA from 1 species